rnacentral:rRNA from 1 species
AAGCGCUCAUGACCAGACUUGGGCCCGGUGAAUCAUCCAGCGUUCUCGCUGGUGCACUUUGCCGGGCUCAGGCCAGCAUCAGUUUGCUUCGGGGGAUAAAGGCUUUGGGAAUGUGGCUCCUCCGGGAGUGUUA